rnacentral:tRNA from 1 species
GGGGCUGAGAAAAGCACAGCAGGCUGCGCCCGGAGAAGCCCUGACUUGGGGUUGAAGGACGCGGGUUCGAUUCCCGCCACCUCCACCA